rnacentral:tRNA from 2 species
GGGGGCGUGGCGGAACUGGCAUACGCAGGAGACUUAAAAUCUCUCGCCGAAAGGAUUGUGGGUUCGAGUCCCACCGCCCCUACCA